GCAGUAGCCGCGGGAACACGAGGGGGGCAAGCGUUGUUCGGAAUUACUGGGCGUAAAGCGCACGUAGGCGGCUUGGUAAGUUAGAGGUGAAAGCCUGGAGCUCAACUCCAGAAUUGCCUUUAAGACUGCCGAGCUAGUAGGUGAGAGAGGCAAGUGGAAUUCCGAGUGUAGAGGUGAAAUUCGUAGAUAUCAGGAGGAACACCUGUGGCGAAAGCGGCUCACUGGACCAUAACUGACGCUGAGGCACGAAAGCUAGGGGAGCAAACAGGAUUAGAUACCCCGGUAGUCCCUGUCUCUUAUAC
rnacentral:rRNA from 1 species